GAUGAACGCUGGCGGCGUGCCUAAUACAUGCAAGUCGAGCGAACGGACGAGAAGCUUGCUUCUCUGAUGUUAGCGGCGGACGGGUGAGUAACACGUGGAUAACCUACCUAUAGGACUGGGAUAACUUCGGGAAACCGGAGCUAAUACCGGAUAAUAUUUUGAACCGCAUGGUUCAAAAGUGAAAGACGGUCUUGCUGUCACUUAUAGAUGGAUCCGCGCUGCAUUAGCUAGUUGGUAAGGUAACGGCUUACCAAGGCAACGAUGCAUAGCCGACCUGAGAGGGUGAUCGGCCACACUGGAACUGAGACACGGUCCAGACUCCUACGGGAGGCAGCAGUAGGGAAUCUUCCGCAGUGGGCGAAAGCCUGACGGAGCAACGCCGCGUGAGUGAUGAAGGUCUUCGGAUCGUAAAACUCUGUUAUUAGGGAAGAACAUAUGUGUAAGUAACUGUGCACAUCUUGACGGUACCUAAUCAGAAAGCCACGGCUAACUACGU
rnacentral:rRNA from 1 species